CACUUCUUGUCAUACAGGAAAUAAUAGAUAACCAAAUCGAACAUACGAACAAUAGCACUUACAAAUGUUGUUCUGUAUCAAACAUUUGUUAGCCCUUGUUUAUGGACAACCUGCAAGUCAAGGGAUGAUUCUUUCUUCUUUUGUUGUACCUGAAGCUGUUCCAAUUAAACCAAAUAAACACCAAGCGAAUGAGAUAGAAUAAGUACUUUGUAAGAUGUGCCCACAAUCUAUUAUGCAGUGAAGGCCCCUUCAGUUUUUCAACACGUACGAUGCUGUGAACUUGGACAAUGACUCUGUGGUGCUUGGGUCGGCAGCAAUGGCACAAUUGCAGAAUUUUUAUUAUUUCAGUCUUGUGCACACUUAUACAUAGCAUAUUCAAAGUAAUCCUAUCAAGAUUAGCCAUAUAGCUACUGUCAGCCAGCUGGUGCUUUCCAUUUGAAUCCACUGCCUUAGAUCGUCCUUGCAACUGAUUUAUGGCCACUAAUGGCGUUCCUAUCCUGGUGACUUCAAGCCUAUUCAUCGAAUUAUGAUCGCUCCAGCCAUCCGACACUCGUUUCCAUCACCAUCGCUUUGCCCAUGUACGCCACGAUGCCCAUGUACGACCUGCUUGUGUUCCCCUCAAUCGCAGCCACCUCCACUGCUACAGAUGGAUUUGUACUCCGGCGGCAGAUUCAUUGUUCAACGAUUUUUCUUGGUACAACCAUUACAAAAGGAGUUAUGUUGAUUCUUGUGCUACGCAAUGUCAUCUAAACACUGCGCCACAAACAAUUACCAUGCCUGCAAGAAGAAGAACAUAUCGCAAUUUUUAUGGCUGGAAGCAGAAACAUAAAAUUAGACAACCUUUCAUCUAUACUCUGGCCGAAGAUUGUGACCAGUGUGAAAUUAGCGUUUGAAUGAAGAUAACAGUGACCAUGGAACUUACCGGACAGGUUGUUGCAGUCUUGCAGAGCACGAUGAGAUAGGGCACGGAUUGGUCUCUCCCAUCUAAUUUCGUAGGUUGCGAUGUGCUGCCGCUCGAGAUCGCUGUUGGCGGGGAAAUUCACGUGGAGGAUGAUGAGGACAGCGAUCGUCGGGAUGAAGUGAUCUAGCCGGGAUGAUGUACGCACAUUUCACAGGUCAGCGGCCUUGGUUCCCGCUGAUUGCUUCGAUCCGCCAUUGUCAGGUGCUGACUUCCUN
rnacentral:lncRNA from 1 species